rnacentral:rRNA from 1 species
GAUGAACGCUAGCGGCAGGCCUAAUACAUGCAAGUCGAACGGUGUCUUCGGACAUAGUGGCGCACGGGUGCGUAACACGUAUGCAACCUACCUUACAUUGGGGGAUAGCCUUUCGAAAGGGAGAUUAAUACCGCAUAAGACAGUAACUGGGCAUCUAGUAGCUGUUAAAGAUUUAUCGAUGUAAGCUGGGCAUGUGUCCAAUUAGCUAGUUGGUGAGGUAACGGCUCACCAAGGCAAUGAUUGGUAGGGGAACUGAGAGGUCAAUCCCCCACACUGGCACUGAGAUACGGGCCAGACUCCUACGGGAGGCAGCAGUAGGGAAUAUUGGGCAAUGGACGCAAGUCUGACCCAGCCAUGCCGCGUGCAGGAUGAAGGCGUUAUGCGUUGUAAACUGCUUUUAUACAGGAAGAAACGACUCUUGCGAGAGGCAUUGACGGUACUGUAUGAAUAAGCACCGGCUAACUCCGUGCCAGCCGCCGCGGUAAUAC